UCUACCUUCAAGAUGGGGACAACACUUCGAAAGGGGUGCUAAUACCGAAUGAAUGAGAGAUGACCGCAUGGAUAUUUCUCUAAAGGAGGCCUCUGAAAAUGCUUCCGCUUGAAGAUGAGCUUGCGUCUGAUUAGCUAGUUGGUGAGGGUAAAGGCCUACCAAGGCGACGAUCAGUAGCCGGUCUGAGAGGAUGAACGGCCACAUUGGGACUGAGACACGGCCCAG
rnacentral:rRNA from 1 species